rnacentral:rRNA from 1 species
UACGUAGGGGGCGAGCGUUGUCCGGAUUCAUUGGGCGUAAAGAGCUCGUAGGCGGUUCAGUAAGUCGGGUGUGAAAUCUCCGUGCUCAACACGGAGCGGCCACCUGAUACUGCUGUGACUCGAGUCCGGUAGGGGAGUGUGGAAUUCCCGGUGUAGCGGUGAAAUGCGCAGAUAUCGGGAGGAACACCAAUGGCGAAGGCAGCUCGCUGGGACGUGACUGACGCUGAGACGCGAAAGCGUGGGGAGCAAACAGG